rnacentral:lncRNA from 1 species
AAACUUUGAUUUGGUGUUGAUGAUGAAGAGGAAAAUUGUGUUAUUGUUUAUGUUAGUAUGGAUGAUGUUGUAGCUUCUAUGGUGUGGUUUUGGAAAAAAAGUAUAGAUGAAGAGAUGAGUUAUUUAAGGUUGUUGUUAUUGUUGUGAUGAAAAUGAUAUUGGUUAGAGGUGUUGAUGAUGGAGGAGAUAGGCUGUGGUGAAAAUUUUGUAUGAUUUUAUGUUUGUAUGAAGAUGAAGAUAUGUUAUGUUGUAGUUUAUGUAUAGGCGGCGUUGGUUUUGGGAAGAAGAUGAAAACUUGCUUAUGUUGUAGCUGUAUGGAGGUUGUGUUGAGAAGAAAGGAAGUGUUUUUAUGAGAAAGUUUAUGAGAAAGAAGAGACAUAUUUUGGAGAAAGUAUUUGGGUGUAUGAGAAGUGAAGAAUGAGGCAACAGUAAAAGACAAAAGAAAAUGGAGGGGAGAGAGAGAGAGAGAGAGUAACAUGGGGAGAAAGAAAGGGAGGAAAGAAAAAAGAAGAAAAAUAAAUGAAAUCCUCCCAUUGAUCGAAAUUUUUUAAAAUUAAUUUUAACUAAAAACUAAAGGCUUAUGUUGAUUCGUUUGUAAAAUAAACUUAUUUAUUUUACUAAUUAAAUAAAAAUACACAAACAUGAAUAAAACUCAAAUUGAAACAUAGGUAAUUUUUAAUAAUUUUCCCGAUUAUUUUGGUGAAAGAACAUAAAUAAUCGAAUAAAAAUCGAGCAUAAAAAUGGAUAGUGGUAGAUUUUAAUAUAGAGUUAACGGUCAACUAAUACAAUAGCAGUAGAGGAAAGUUGUAAACUUAUUACACAUUACGGGAAUAGGGUACAACUUUGUAGAAUGGGGAUAUAGUACAACAAUUAACAACAUAGGCUUAACAGACAACUGUAUAUAAUAAAAAUCUCGUUGUAAGAAGGCCCAAGAGAAAUCCAAUGAACCAAAAAUUAAAUUGGACUUUUGAACUACUGAAUUUAGCGCUAUGUUAAGCAAUCGUAAAGUGAUUUAUGUAGAAAUCACCCUAUCUGGGGUUUGUUAAUAAAUUAUAUGGGUUUAAGGAAUUUCUGAAGUUAAAUUGAAUUUUUAACUCUGAAAUUACAAUGCAUAUGUGAAAAACCGGUGAUUUUAAACGAUAGUUUUAAAGGUAAAAAGAAAUGACAUUUAAACUACUAUAUUUAGUGUUAUGUUAAGCAAUUUUAAAAUGAUUCACGUAGGAAUCACCCUAUCUCAUGCCAGCCAAUAAACUCUAUACGUUUAAGUAAUUUCUGAAGUUAAAUUGAAUUUUUAACUCCAAAAUUGCAACGCAUAUGUGAAAAAACGAUGAGAUAAAUAAAUCAAAUUUUCUUUUUAAUAGUUUUAAAAUAAAUAAUUAAUUAAACUAAUUCAUUAAUCAAUUAAAUCAACAACUAUAAUUAAUAAUUUAAAUAAAAAUAGAGAAAAAAUAAAUAAAUAAGAUGAUGCAAAUUAGUUAUGCGGAGGUGUCCAAAACCAUUUAUGGACCUAAAACACAACAAAUCCCAAUACUAAACUAAAUCCAAAUUUUACGACAUAUAAUAAAAGGAAUAAUAAUAAUAAUAAUAAUAAUAAUAAUAAUAACAAAAAUAAAUAAAUAAACAAAAAAAUUAUUAACAAUAAUAAUAAUUAGUAAUUAGUAAUAAUAAAUAAUAAUGAUCAAUAAUAAAAUUAACAACAAUAAUAGUCAAUAAUGAUAAUUAACAAUAAUAAUGAUUAAACCAUAAUACACAAAAAUAAUAAUAAUAACUAAUUUAAUAAUGAUAAUUAUAAUAGUAAAAAGUAUAAUAAUAGUAAUCAUAAUAAGAAUAAUAUAGUAAUAAUAUAAUAGUAGUAGUAAUCAAUAAUCCAUAAUAGUAAUAAUAGUAAUACAUAUGCUAAUCAAAAUAAUAGUAAAUAAUUAAUAAUAAUAACAGUAAUAAUAACAAAUAUAAUAAUAAAUAAAUGUGGCAAGGGAGUUUUGUGUGAAAAAAAAUUAUUUUUUUCCUCCUUGCUUGUCUGUUGCAACAAUAACACGGUCUCUUUUUUUAUUUAUUUAAAUUAAAACAAAAACAAUUUCUUCUUUUCCAAUUAUGAACAAAAAUGAAAAAUAUUACCAAUCAAAUCAAACAUGGAUACCAAAUCUUUAUCUCUGACUUACCCUCUAACUCAAUAAUCUGGUAAUGGUUGUGCGGUUAAGAGAUUUGUGAUAUUGUUGCUGUUUUCGAUGUUGUAUUGGUUGAAGAAGAUGAAGUUGGGUAAUGAUGAUGAAGAGAGACGUGGGGAGAAAGAAAGGGAGGAAAGAAAAAAGAAGAAAAAUAAAUGAAAUCCUCCCAUUGAUCGAAAUUUUUUAAAAUUAAUUUUAAAUAAAAACUAAAGGCUUAUGUUGAUCGGUUGGUAAAAUAAACUUAUUUAUUUUACUAAUUAAAUAAAAAUACGCAAACAUGAAUAAAACUCAAAUUGAAACAUAGGUAAUUUUUAAUAAUUUUCCUGAUUAUUUUGGUGAAAGAACAAAAACAAUCGAAUAAAAAUCGAGCAUAAAAAAGGAUAGUGGUUGAUUUUAAUAUUGAGCUAACGGUCAACUAAUACAAUAGCAGUAGAGGAAAGUUGUAAACUUAUUACACAUUACGGGAAUAGGGUACAACUUUGUAGAAUGGGGAUAUAGUACAACAAUUAACAACAUAGGCUCAACAGACAACUGUAAAUAAUAAAAAUCUCGUUGUAAGAAGGCCCAAGAGAAAUCCAAUGAACCAAAAAUUAAAUUGGAGUUUUGAACUACUGAAUUUAGCGCUAUGUUAAGCAAUUGUAAAGUGAUUUAUGUAGAAAUCACCCUAUCUGAGGUUUGUUAAUAAAUUAUAUGUGUUUAAGGAAUUUCUGAAGUUAAAUUGAAUUUUUAACUCCGAAAUUGCAAUGCAUGUGUGAAAAACCGGUGAUUUUAAACGACAGUUUUAAAGGUAGAAAGAAAUGACAUUUAAACUACUAUAUUUAGUGUUAUGUUAAGAAAUUUUAAAAUGAUUCACAUAGGAAUCACCCUAUCUCUUGCCAGCCAAUAAACUCUAUGCGUUUAAGUAAUUUCUGAAGUGAAAUUGAAUUUUUAACUCCAAAAUUGCAACGCAUAUGUGAAAAAACGAUGAGACAAAUAAAUCAAAUUUUCUUUUUAAAAGUUUUAAAAUAAAUAAUUAAUUAAACUAAUCCAUUAAUCAAUUAAAUUAACAACUAUAAUUACUAAUUUAAAUAAAAAUCAAGAAAAAAGAAAUAAAUAAGAUGAUGCGAAUUAGUUAGGCGGAGGUGUCAAAAACCAUUUAUGGACCUAAAACACAACAAAUCCCAAUACUAAACUAAAACCAAAUUUUACAACAUAUAAUAAUAAUAAUAAUAAUAAUAAUAAUAAUAAUAAUAAUAAAAAUAAUAGUAAUAAUAAAAAUAAUAAUAAUAAACAAAUCCCAAUACUAAACUAAAACCAAAUUUUACAACAUAUAAUAAUAAUAAUAAUAAUAAUAAUAAUAAUAAUAAUAAUAAAAAUAAUAGUAAUAAUAAAAAUAAUAAUAAUAAGUAAACAAUAAUAAUCAAUAAAAAUGAUCAAUCAUAAAAUUAACAACAAUAAUAGUCAAUAAUGAUAAGUAAUAAUAAUAAUUAACAAUAAUAAUGAUUAAACCAUAAUAAACAAAAAUAAUAAUCAGAACUAAUUUAAUAAUGCUAAUUAUAAUAGUAAAAAAAAUAUUAAUAGUAAUCACAAUAAUAAUAAUAUAGUAAUAAUAUAAUAGUAGUAGUAAUAAAUAAUCAAUAAUAAUAAUAUUAGUAAUACAUAUGCUAAUAAUAAUAAAUAAUAAUAAUAAUAAUAACAGUAAUAAUAACAAAUAUAAUAAUAAUAAUAAUAUUAUAUAAUAAUUAUAAUGAUAAUGAUAAUAAUAGUAUAAUAAUAUUUAAUAGUAAAAAAGAGAAAAAAAGAAAAGCAAAAAAAACUAAGGAUAAGGGCGACUGACAUUGAUUUUAAAGGAAGGGAGAUUUAAAAAAAAAUUAAAAGCAAACCAACUAUAAACAGAAACGUGGCAAGGGAGUUUUGUGUGAAAAAAACUUAUUUUCUUCCUCCUUGCUUGUCUGUUGCAACAAUAACAAGGUCUCUCUAUCUUUUCUCUUAAAAUUAAAACAAAAACAAUUUCUUCUUUUCAAAUUAUGAACAAAAAAUAACAAUAUUAACAAUCAAAUCAAACUUGGAUACCAAGUCUUUAUCUCUCACUUACUCUCUAACUUAAGAAUCUAGAAGUGGUUGUGCGAUCAGAGAUUUGUGAUAUUGUUGUUGUUUUCGAUGUUGUGUUGGUUUAAGAAGAUGAAGUAGGGUGAUGAUGAUGAUGAGUGACAAAAAAGUUUGUUUUAGUGUUGAUGAUGAAGAGUAAAAUUGUGUUACUGUUUAUGUUAGUAUGGAUGAUGUUGUAGCUUCCAUGGUGUGGUUUUGGAAAAAAGUGAUGAUGAGGAGAUGAGUUGUUUAAGAUUGUUGUUAUUGUAGUGAUGAAAAUGAUGUUGGUUAGAGGUGUUGAUGAUGGAGGAUAUAGGCUGUGGUGCAAAUUUUGUAUAAUUUUAUGUUUGUAUGAAGAUGAAGAUAUGUUAUGUUAUAGUUUGUAUGGAGGUGGUUUGGUUUUGUGAAGAAGAUGAAAACUUUCUUAUGUUGUAAUUUGUAUGGAGGUUUAGUUGAGAAGAAAGGAAGUGUUUUUAUGAGAAAGUUUAUGAGAAAGAAGAGAGAUAUUUUGGAGAAAGUGUUUGGGUAACAGUACAAGACAAAAGAAAAAGGAGGAGAGAGAGAGAGAGAGAGAGAGAGAGAGAGAGAGAGAGAGCAACAUGGGGAGAGAGAAAGGGAGGAAAGAAAAAAAGAAGAAAAAAAAGAAAUCCUCCCAUUUGUAGAAAUUUUUUUAAAUUAAUAUUAAAUAAAAACUAAAGGCUUAUUUUGACUGGUUGGUAAAAAAAAUUAUUUUACUAAUUUAAUAAAAAUACGCAAACAUGAAUAAAAUUCAAAUUGAAAUAUAGGUAAUUUUAAAUAAUUUUCCCGAUUAUUUUGGUGAAACACCAAAAGUAAUCGGAUAAAAAACGAUUAAAAAUCGAGCAUAAAAAAGGAAAGUGGUUCAUUUUAAUAUUGAGUUAAUGGUCAACUAAUACAAUAGCAAUAGAGAAAAGUGGUAAACUUAUUACACAUUACGGGAAUAGGGUACAACUUUGUCGAAUGGGGUUACAAUACAAUAAUUAACAACAUAGGUUCAAUAGACAACCGUAAAUAACAAAAAUCUCGUUGUAUGAUGGCCCAAGAGAAAUCCAAUGAACAAAAAAUAAAAUUGGACUUUUGAACUACUGAAUUUAGCGCUAUGUUAAGCAAUCGUAAAGUGAUUUAUGUGGAAAUCACCCUAUCUGAGAUCUGUUAAUAAAUUAUAUGGGUUUAAGCAAUUUCUGAAGUUAAAUUAAAUUUUUAAUUCCGAAAUUGCAAUGCAUAUGUGAAAACCGGUGAUUUUAAACGACAAAUUUAAAGGUAAAAAGAAACGACAUUUAAACUACUAAAUUUAGUGUUAUGUUCAGCAAUUUUAAAUUGAUUCACGUAGGAAUCACCCUAUCUCAUGCCACCCAUUAACUCUAUGCGUUUAAGUAAUUUCUGAAGUUAACUUGAAUUUUUAACUCCUAAAUUGUAACGCAUAUGUGAAAAAAUGAUGAGACAAAUAAAUAAAAUUUUCUUUUUAAUAAGUUAAAAAUAAAUAAAUAAUUAAAAUAUCCAUUAAUCAAUUAAAUCAACAACUAUAAUUACUAAUUUAAAUAAAAAUCAAGAAAAAAGAUAUAAAUAAGAUGAUGCAAAUUAGUUAUGAGGAGGUGUCAAAAACCAUUUAUGGACCUAAAACACAACAAAUCCCAAUACUAGACUAAAAUCAAAUUUUACAACAUAUAAUAAUAAUAAUAAUAAUAAUAAUAAUAAUAAUAAUAAUAAUAAUAAUAAUAAUAAUAAUAAUACCAAAAAUAAUAAUAAUACAAAAAAAUAAUAACAAUAAUAAUAAUUANCGUAUAACUUUUAUUUAUUGUCAUUAUUUGUAAUAAUAAUAAUAAUAAUAAUAAUAAUAAUAAUAAUAAUAAUAAUAAUAAUAAUAAUACCAAAAAUAAUAAUAAUACAAAAAAAUAAUAACAAUAAUAAUAAUUAAUAAAAAAUAAUAAUCAAUAAUAAUGAUCAAUAAUAAAAUUAACAACAAUAAUAGUCAAUAAUGACAAUUAAUAAAAAUAAUUAACCAUAAUAAUGAUUAAACUGCAAAAUAAAAAAUAUACUAAUAACUAAUAAUAUGAAUACAUAUGCUAAUAAUAAUAAACAAUAAUAAUAAUAAUAGAAAAUAAUUAAUAAUAAUAACAAAUAUAAUAAUAAUAAUAUUAUAUGAUAAUUAUAAUGAUAAUGAUAAUAAUAGUAUAAUAAUAUUUAAUAGUAAAAAUAAGAAAAAAAGAAAAAUAAAAAAACUAAAAAAAACUAUGGAUAAGGGCGAUUGGCAUUGGUUAUAAGAGGAAGAGAGAUUUAAAAAAAAAAUUAAAAGCAAACCAACUAUAAAUAGAAACGUGGCAAGGGAGUUUUGUGUGAAAAAAACUUAUUUUCUUCUUCCUUGCUUGUCAGUUGCAACAACAACACGAUCUCUCUCUCUCUUUUCUUUUAAAAUUAAAACAAAAACAAUUUCUUCUUUUCCAAUUAUGAUCAAAAAAUAACAAUAUUAACAAUCAAAUCAAACUUGGAUACCAAAUCUUUAUCUCUCACUUACUCUCUAACUCAAGAAUCAAGUAGUGGUUGUGCGGUCAGAGAUUUGUGAUAUUGUUGUUGUUUUCGAUGUUGUGUUGGUUGAAGAAGAUGAAGUUGGGUGAUGAUGAUGAAGAGUGAGAAAAAACUUUGAUUUUGUGUUGAUGAUGAAGAGAAAAAUUGUGUUAUUGUUUAUGUUAGUAUGGAUGAUGUUGUAGCUUCCAUGGUGUAGUUUUGGAAAAAAAGUGAUGAUGAGGAGAUGAGUUGUUUAAGGUUGUUGUUAUUCUAGUGAUGAAAAUGAUGUUGGUUAGAGGUGUUGAUGAUGGAGGAUAUACGUUGUGGUAAAUUUUUUGUAUGAUUUUAUGUUUGUAUGAAGAUGAAGAUAUGUUAUGUUGUAGUUUGUAUGGAGGUGGGUUGGUUUUGUGAAGAAGAUGAAAACUUGCUUAUGUUGUAGUUUGUAUGGAGGUUUAGUUGAGAAGAAAGGAAGUGCUUUUAUGAGAAAGAAGAGAGAUAUUUUGGAGAAAGUAUUUGGGUGUAUGAGAAGUGAAGAAUGAGGUAGAAGUAAAAGAUAAAAGAAAAUGGAGGAGAGAGAGAGAGAGAGAGCAACAUGGGGAGAGAGAAAGGAGGAAAUAAAAAAAGAAGUCCUCCCAUUGGUAGAAUUUUUUUUAAAUUAAUAUUAAAUACAAACUAAAGGGUUAUGUUGAUUGGUUGGUAAAAAAAAAUUAUUUAUUUUACUAAUUAAAUAAAAAUACACAAACAUGAAUAAAAUUCAAAUUGAAACAUAGGUAAUUUUAAAUAACUUUCCCGAUUACUUUGGUGAAAGACCAAAAAUAAUCGGAUAAAAAACGAAUAAAAAUCGAGCAUAAAAAAGGAUAGUGAUUGAUUUUAAUAUCUAGUUACCGAUCAACUAAUACAAUAGCAAUAAAGGAAAGCGGUAAACAUAUUACACAUUACGGGAAUAGGGUACAACUUUGUCGAAUGGGGAUACGGUACAAUAAUUAACAACAUAGGCUCAACAGAUAACUGUAAAUAACAAAAAUCUCGUUGUAAGAUAGCAGUGAAAGACAAAAAAAAUGAAGUGGAGAGAGAGAGAGAGAGAGAGAGAGAGCAAUUUGGGGAGAGAGAAAGGCAGGAAAGAAAAAAGAAGAAAAAAAAAGAAUUCCUCCCAUUGGUCGAAAUUUUUUAAAAUUAAUUUUAAAUAAAAACUAAAGGCUUAUGUAGAUUGGUUGGUAAAAAAGUAUUUAUUUUACUAACUAAAGAAAAAUACCCAAAAAUUCUUAAAAUUGAAAAUGGAACAUAUGUAAUUUUAAAUAAUUUUCCCGAUUAUUUUGGUGAAAGACAAAAAAUAAUUGGAUAAAAAAGGAUAGUGGUUGAUUUUAAUAUUGAGUUAACGAUCAACUAAUACAAUAGCAAUAAAGGAUUAGUGGUAAUCAUAUUACACAUUACGGGUAUAGGGUACAACUUCGUUGAAUGGGGAUACAGUACAACAAUUAACAAAUAGGCUCAACAGUAACUAUAAAUAACAAAAAUCUAGUUGUAAGAAGUCCCAAGAGAAAACCAAUGUACCAAAAAUAAAAUUGGAGUUUUAAAGUACGUAAUUUAGCGCCAUGUUAAGCAAUCAUAAAGUGGUUUAUGUAGAAAUCACCCUAUCUGAGAUCUAUUAAUAAACUAUAUGGGUUUAAGCAAUGUUUGAAGUUAAAUUGAAUUUUUAACUCCUAAAUUGCAAUGCAUAUGUGAAAACCGAUGAUUUUAAACGACAUUUUUAAAGGUAAAAAGAAACGACAUUUAAACUACUAAAUUUAGUGUUAUGUUAAACAAUUUUAAAAUGAUUCACGUAGGAAUCACCCUAUCUCAUGCCAGCCAAUAAACUCUACGUUUAAGUAAUUUAUGAAGUUAAAUUGAAUUUUUAACACCAAAAUUGCAACGGAUAUGUGAAAAAACGAUGAGACAAAUAAAUCUAACUUUCUUUUUAAUAAUUUUAAAAUAAAUAAUUAAUUAAACUAAUCCAUUAAUCAAUUAAAUCAACAACUAUAAUUACUAAUUUAAAUAAAAAAAAGAAAAAGGAAAUAAAUAAGAUGAUGCAAAUUAGUUAUGCAGAGCUGUCAAAAACCAUUUAUGGACCUAAAAAACAACAAAUCCCAAUACUAAACUAAAAUCAAAUUUCACAACAUAUAAUAAUAAUAAUAAUAAUAAUAAUAAUAAUAAUAAUAAUAACAAAAAAAUAAUAAUACAACAAAAAAAUAUUAACAAUAAUAAUAAUUAGUAAACAAUAAUAAUUAAUNUAAUUAGUAAACAAUUAAUAAUUAAUAAUAGAUGAAUCAAUAAUAAAAUUAACAACAAUAAUAAAGGCUUAAAACAAUAAUAAACAAGAAUAAUAAUAAUAACUUAAUUAAUAAUGCAUAAUUUAUAAUAGUUAAAAAAUAAUAAUCAGCUAAUCAUAAUAAGAAUAUAUUAGUUCAGUGAUAAUAAAUUAGUAGUAGUAAUCAAAUAAUUAUAUAAAGCAGUAAUAAUGGUAAUACAUAUGCAAAUAAAAAAAUCUAUAAUAAUAGUAAAUAAUUAAUAAUAAUAACAGUAAUAAUAACAACUAUAAUAAUAAUAAUAAUAUUAUAUAGUAAUUAUAAUGAUAAGAUAAUAAUAGUAUAAUAAGAUUAUAAUAGUAAAAAAAGAGGGGCGCGCUGACAUUGAUGUAUUAGAGAAGCAGAGAUUUUUUUAAUAAAAAUUAAGCAAACCAACCAAAACAGAAACACGUUCGGCAAGGGAUUUUUGUUUGAAAAAAUGAUUUUUUCCUCCUUGGUGUCCGUUGCCAACAACACAUGCGUUCUCUCUUUUUUUCAAUUUAAACAAAAACCAAUUUCUUCUUUUCCCAUUAUCGCAACAAAAAAUGAACAAUAUUAACAAUGAACCACAAACUUGGCAACCAAAUCUUUAUCUCUCUACUUACUCGUCUUAAUCUCAAGAAUCCUGGUAAGUGGUCGUGCGGUUCGAGAGAUUUGUGAUAUAUGGUUUUUUUUUAUGUUGCGCUUGUUGAGAAGAUGAAGUUGGUGCAUGAAGAGUGACAAAAAAAUUUGUUGUGGUGGUUGUUUGAUGAAGUGAAAAUUGUGUUAUUUGUUUUAUGUAGUGUGGAUGAUGUUUGUAGCUUCCAUGGUGUCGGUUCUUUUGGAAAAAAUGAUUAUGAGGAGAUGAGUUGUUAAGCGUUAUUGUUUAUUGUAGUGAUAAAAUGAUGUUGGUUAGAGUUUGAUGCAUGGAGCGAGAUAGUUUAUAUGGUGAAAGAUUUAUGUUGAUUUAUGAUUUGUUGCGAAGAAUGAAGAGUGUUAUGUUGUAGUUUGUACUGCAGGUGCGUGUUUGUUUUAUGAAAGAAGCAUGAAAAACUUUCCUUGUUGUAGUUUGUAUGGCAGGUUGUGUUGGAGAAGAAGAAAGGAGUGUUUUUAUGAGAAAGAAUAGAAUAUUUUGGAAGAAAGUAUUUGGGUCUAUUGACAGAGUGAAGAAUGAGGUAGUAGCUGAAAGACAAAGAAAAUGGAAUGGGAGAUGAUAGAUAGAUAGCAUUAGAUAGAUUAGAUAGAUAGAUAUGAUAGAUUAGUUAGAGAGAGAGAGAGAGAGAGCAACACUUGGGGAGAGAGAAAGGGAGAAAGAAAAAAGAGGACAAAAAAGAAAUCCUCCAUUGGUCGAAAAUUUUUUUUAAAAAUUUAUCUUAAUAAAAACUAAAGGCUUAUGUUGAUUGGCUUGGUAAAAAAAAUAUUUUUUUACUAAUUAAAUAAAAAUUACACCAAACAUGAAUAUAAUUCAAAAUGAAAACAUACGGUAAUUUUAAAUGAUUUCCUGAUUAUUUUUGGUGAAAGACAAAAAAUAUCGAAUAAAAUCGUGGAGAAAUAAAAGAGGAUACGCUGUGUGAUUUUAAUAUUGCAGUGAACGAAUCAAUUAAUACAAUAGUAAUAAAGGAUUAGUGGUAAUUCAUAUUACCACAUUACGGGUAUAGGCGUUACAAACUUCGUUGAAUGGAUACAGUACAACAAUUAACAAAUAAGGCUCAUACAGUAACUAUAAAAUAACAAAAAUCUUUUUGAUAAGAAGGCCCAAGCGAAAUUCCAAUCAACCAAAAAAUAAAAUUGCGAGUUUUAACUGCUGAAUUUAAGUUACUAUGUUAAGCAAUCGAAAAGUGAUUUAUGUAGAAUCACCCUAUCUGAGGUCUUUUAUAAAUAUAUGAUUUAAGCAAUUUCUGAAGUUAAAUUGCAAUUUUUUAAAUCCUAAAAUGCAAUGCAUGUGGAAAUCGCGUGCAUUUUUAAAUGACAUUGUUUAAAGGUUAAAAAAAGGAAAAAACGACAUUUAAAACUACUAAUUUAGUGUAUAUGAUUAAGAAUUUUUAAAAAUGCUUCACGUAGAAUCACCCCUAUCUCAUGCAGCCAAUAAUCUCUUAGUGUUAAAGUAAUUUAUGAAGUUUAAAUUGAAUUUUUUAACUAGAAAUUGAACGCCAUAUAUGCUGAAAAAAACAAGUGCAGACAAUAAAUUAAAUUUCUUUUAAUAAUUCUUAAAAUUAAAUAAAUUAAUAUAAACUAAUCCAUUUAAUCAAUUAAAUCAACACUGAUAAUUACUAAUGUGAAAUAAAAAAUCAGAGAAAAAGGAAUAAAUAAGAUUGAUGCAAAUUUAGUUUUAUGCGGAGUGUCAAAAACCCAUUUAUAGACCUAAAACAUAAACAAAAAUCCCAAUACUAAACUAUAAACCAAAUUUAAUAAGACAACUCGACAACUAAUACAUAAUAAAAUAAUAACAACAACAAACAACAAAAAUUAAUUAGUCACAUAACAAAAAAAUAAUAAAAAUGAAAUAAUUAUAAAACAAUUAAUACAUGCGAUAAUAACGAUGAAUCAAUAAUACACAAAUUAACAACAUAUAAUAGUCAAUAAUGAUAUUAAAUAAAUAAUAAUUACAAAAUAAUAAUGACUUAAACAAUAAUAAACAAAAGUAAUAAUUCUAAAUAAUUUAAUAAUGCAUAAUUUAUAUUAGUGACCCUUACUAAAAUAUAAUACAUAGUUAACAUAAUAAAGAAUAAUAUAGUAUAUUAAUUAUAGCUCAAGUCUGUCAUCAAUAAUCAAUCAAUACUAAUUAAACUAAGUUUAUACAUAUGCCUAAUAAUAAUAAUUAAAUAAUAAUCAAUAUAGUACAAAUAAUUAAAAUAAUAAAUACACUUCAUAAUAACAAAUAUAUAUAGUAUGUUGAAGAAGAUGAAGUGGGUGUUUAAUACGUAAAAGAGUGUGAAAAAUAAACAGUUAGUUUUGUGGAGUUGCGCAUGAGAGAGUGAAAUUAUUGUUAUUGUUAUUUUUAGUGUGGAAGAUGUUGUAGUUCCAUGCGUGUUGGUUUACGAAAAAAAGUGAAUGAUGCAGGAGAUGAGUUGUUAUAAGGUUGUUGUUAUUGUAGUGAUGAAAAACGAGUGUGGUAGACGGUGAGUUUUGCAUGAUGGAGGAGAUAGCGUUGUGGUGAAAAUUUUGUAUGAUUUUAAUGUUUGUAUUGAAAAUGCAAGAUAUGUUAUGUAUUGUAGUUUGUAUGGAGGUGGUGUUUGUUUUAUGAAGAAGUGAAAACUGCUAUAUGUUGUAGUUGUGUAUGGAGCGUUGUGUUGAGAAGAAAGGAAGUUGGUUUUAUGAGAAAAGUUCAUGAGAAAGAGCAGAGAUAUUUUGGAGAAAGUGUUUGGCUUUGGUGUAACAGUACCAAGACAAAAGAAAAAGGAGGAGAGAGAGAAGAGAGAGAGAGAUGAGAGAGAGAGGAGAGCAGAGACUGAGAGAGAGAGACGAGAGACGAGAGACGAAGGAGAGAGAAGUAGAAUAUGUGGCGGAGAGAGCAAAGGGGGAAAUGAAAAAAAAAGAAAAAAAGAAAUCCUCCCAUUGGUCGAAAUUUAUAAAAAUUAAAUUUAAAUAAAUAACUAAAGGGCUUACGUGUGAUUGGUUGGUUAGCAAAAAAUUAUUCAGUUUUACUAAUUAAAUAAAAUACACAAACAUGAAUAAAUUCAAAUUUGAAACAUAGGUAAAUUUUAAAAUAAUUUAUCGAUUAUUUUGGUGAAAAGACACAAAAUAAUUGUCGAUAAAAAACGAAUAAAAUCGAGGAAUAAAAAGACCGCUGGAUGAUUUUAAUAUUGAUGUGAACGGAUCAAUUAAUACAAAGUAUUAAAGGAAUUAGCGGUAAUCAAUUACCACAGUUACGGGAUAUAGGAGAUACAACUUUGUUGAAUGAGAUACAGGUACAAAAUUAACAACAUAGGCUCAACAGUAACUAUGAUAACAAAAAAUCUUGUGUGUAAAAGGCCCAGCCGAAAUUCCAAUCACCAAAAUAAGAAUUGGAGUUUUAACUACUGUGAAUUUAGCGCUUUAUGUUAAAGCAAUUGAAAAAGUGGAUUUAUUUGUAGAAAUCACCCUAUCUGAGCGUCUGUUAAUAAAUUAUAUAUGGGAUUUAAGCAAAUUCUGAAGUUAAAAUUGAAUUUUAAAUCCGAAAUUGCCCAAUUGCAUAUAGUGGAAAUCAGUGAUUUUAAAACGACCAUUUUUAAAUGGUUAAAAGAAACGACAUUUAAACUGACUAAAUUUAGUGGGAUGAUAAGAAAUGUUAAAAAGCAAUUUACGUAGGAAAUCACCCUAUUCUCACGUCAGCCAAUAAACUCUAUGCGUUUAAGUAAUUCUGAAGUUCAAUUGAAUUUUUGAAACGUAACGAUUAAAUUUCAACCCAUCAUGGUGGAAAAUAAAACGACGAGGACAAAUAAAUUCAAUUUUUCUUUUUAAUAAUUUUAAAUAAAUAAAAAAUAAUUAAACUAAUCCAUUAAUCAAUUAAUCAACAACUAUAAAUAGUAAUUUAAAUAAAAAUAAAGAAAAAAAAAUAAAUAAAUGAUGCAAAUUAGUUAUGCCGGACGUUAAAAAAACCAUUAUGGACCUAAAUCACAACAAUCCCAAUACUAAACUUAAAAUCAAAUUUUACAAGAUAUAAUAAUAAUAAUAAAUUAAUAAUAAUAAUAAUAAUAAUAAUAAUAAUAAUAAUAAGAAAGAAGAAGAUAACAAAAUAAUAUAAUAAAACAAAAAAUAAUAACAAUAAUAAAUAAUUAGUAAACAAUAAUAAUCCAAUAUAAUUGAUCAAUAAUAAAAUUAAUAACAAUGAUAGUCAAUAAUGAAUAAUUAAUUAAUAAUAAUGAUUUAACUAAUUAUAAUAAUGAUAAUUGAUAAUAGUAAAAAUAUAAUAAUAGUAAUCAUAUUAACAAUAAUAUACUAACAAACAAUAAUUAUCAAAGUAUUAGUAAGCAAUAAUCAAUAAUAAUACUAAUCAAUAGUAAACAUAUUCUAAUAAUAAUAAAUAAAUAAUAAAAUAGUAAAAAUAAUUAAUAAUAAAACAGUAAUAAUAAAAAAUAUUAAUAAUAAUUAUAUGUAAUAAUUUAUAAUGAUAAUUGAUAAUAAUAGUAUAAGAAUAUAUAUAAUUGUUAACAACAAGAAAAAAACAUAACAAGAAAAACAAACUAAAAAAUAAAGGAUAGGUAGUUGACCGUUGCAUCUCGAGUGAGAAGAAUUUUUUUUUUAAAAUGAAGCAAACCAACAUAACAGCGAAAACUUGGAGCCGGCAGGUGUUUUGGUGCUAAAAAAAAUAUCUUUAUCCUUCCUCCUUGGUGCUUGUCUCGUUUGCAUCAAUCACACUGAUUCUCUCUCUCUCUCUUCCUUUUUUUUUUUAAAUUAAAACAUAAAAACAAUUUCUUCUUUUCAAUUAUGAACAAAAAAUGACAAUAUAACAAUUUCAACCAAAUUGGUAUACCAAAUCUUUAUUAUCUGCACUUACUCUCUAACUUCAGGAAAUCUGGUAGUGUAUUGCGGUUUCAGAGUUUUGUGAUUUUGUUUUUGUUUUUUGAUGGUUGUUUUGGUUGAAAGAAGAUGAAUGUUGGGUGACGCAUGAUAAGCAAGUGUACUAACAAUAUUUUGUUUUGGGUUGGAUGAUGAAGGAGUAAAAUUCUGUUAUUGUUUAUGUUAGUGUGGAUGAUGUUCCUAGCUUCCAUUGGUGUGGUUUUGGAAAAAGUGAUUGUAUGAGGCGCAGAUGAGUUGGUUUAACGGUGUUGUUAUUUGUAGUGUUGAAAAUGUGUUGGUUAGAGGUAUUUGAAUGAUGGAGGAGUAGCGUUGUGGUAUAAAAUUUUGUAUGAUUUUAUGGUUUGUAUGAAGAAUGAAGAUAUGUUUAUGUUAAGUUGUAUUAGAGGUGGUGGUUUGUUAUAUGAAGAAGAUGAAAACUUGCUUUAUGUUGUUAGUUUGUAUUGGAGGUUGUUGUGUGAGAAGAAAGGGAAGUGUUUUUAUGAGGAACUGUUUAUGAGAAAGAGAGAGGAAAUUUUGGAGAAAAUAUUUGGGGUGUACUGAGAAGUUGAAGAAUCAGGUAGCCCAGUAAAGACAAUAAAAAAAAAGAGGAGAGAGAUAAGAGAGCAAUGUGCGUGAGAGAGAAAGGAAGAAUGAAAAAAAAAAAGAAAUCCUCUCCAUUAGUCGAAAAUUUUUAAAAUAUUAUAAAAUUUAAAUAUAAAAACUAAAGGCUUAUGUUGAUUGGUUUGUUUAAAAAAAUUAUUUAGUUUACUAAUGUAGAAUAAAAAUAUAAAAAACAUGAAUAUAAAAUUGAAAUUGAAAUCAUAGGUGUUAUUAUUUAAAAUAAUUUUACCGAUUUAUUUUGGUGAAAGGACCAAAAAUUAAUCAGAUAAAAAACGAAUAGAAAUUUCAAGAAUAAAAAAGUAUCGUGCGUUGAUUUUAAUAUUGAGUUAACGAUCAAAAAUCUAAUAUAAUAGUAACAAAGUAUUAGCGGUUAAACAUAUUUACACAUUACGGAAUUAAGCGUACAAUCUUUUGUCGAAAUGGGGAUACAAUACAACAAUUAACAACAUUGGCUCAACAUAUUAACUGUAAAUAACAAAAAUUCUCGUUUGUAAGAUAGGUUCCCCAAGAGAAAAUCCAAUUGAACUAAAAAAUAAAAAUUAGAUGUUUUGACACUACUGAAUUUAGCGAUAUGUUAAGCAUAUUGUAAAGUGUGAUUUAUGUAGAAUCACUCCCUAUCUUUGGUCUGUAAUAAAUUCUAUGGGUUUAAGAAAGUUUCUGAGUUAAAUUGAAUUUUAAUACUCCGUAAAAUUGCCAAUGCCUUAUGUGAAAAUCGGUGAUUUUAAACGAUUGUUUAAAGGUAAAAAGGAAAACGACGUUUAAACUACUAAAAUUUAAUGUUAUGGUUAAGUAAUUUUAAAAUGAUUCACGUAGGGAAUCACCCUAUCUCAUGGAAGGCCAAUAAACCUCUAUGCGUUUAAAUUAAUUUUUCUUUUUAUAUAUUUAAUUAAUAAUUAAUUAAACUAAUGCAUUAGUCCAAUUAAAUCAACAACUUAUUUAUUACUAAUUUAAAUAAAGUCAAGAAAAAAAAAGAUGAUGCAAUUAAGUUAUGUGGAAGUGUUCAAAUACCAUUUAUGGACCUAAAACACAACAAAUCCCAAUACUAAAGUAAAAUCAAAUUUUACAAUAUAUAAUAAUAUAAAUAUAUAAUAAUAAUUAAUAAUUAACAAAAAUAAUAAUUUAUACAAAAAAAUAACAAUAAUAAUAAUUAGUAAACAAAAAUAAUCAAUAUUAUUAUGAUCAAUAAUACAAAUAACAACAAAAUAGUCAAUAUUGAUAGUAAUAUAAUAAUUAACAAUAAUAUAAUAUAACAAUUAAUAAUGAUCAUAUACAAAACACAAUAAUAAAGGUUAAUACAUAAUACAGAAUAAUAAAUAACUAAUUAAUGAUAAUUAUAAUGUAAUAAAUUUACAUAUAUUUAAUUAAAGAAUAAAUAGUAUAAUAUAAUAGUUUAUGUGUAAUCAAAUCAAUAAUAAUAAUGAUAAAUAAUAUGCGUAAUAAAUAUGCAAAUAAUAAUAUUAAUAAUUAUAAUAGUAAAAAAAUUAAUAUAUAAUAACAGUAAUAUAAAAAAUAUAUAAUAAUAAUAAUAUAUAAGUAAUUAUAAUGAUUAUAUUAGAUAAAAUAGUAUAUAAAAUAUAUAAUAGUAAAAAAGAAAAGAAAAGAAAAGAUAAUAAAAAUAAAGUAGGGGCGGCUACAAUUGGUUAUGAGGAAGAGAUGAUUUUUAAAAUUAAAAGCAAACCAAACUAUAAACCAGAAACGCGGCAAGGAGUUUUGUGUGAAAAAAUUAUUUUUCCUCCUUGUCUUUGCGUGUCGUGUUGAACAAACACAACACAGUCUCUCUCUUUAAUUAAAACAAAAAACAAUUUUUUCUUUUCCAUUAUGAACAAAAAAUAACAAUAUUAACAAAUAAACCAAACUUGGAUACCAAAUCUUUAUUCUCACUUACUACUCUAACUCAGAAUCUGGUAAUGUUCGUGCGUUCAGAGAUUUGUGAUAUGUUUUGUUUUUAUGUUUGUCGCUGUUGAAGUAAGAUGGACGUUGGGAGUAUUGAAGAGUGUACAAAAAAGUUCUGUUUUUUUGUGGUGUUGUUGAUGAAGAGUAAAAAUUAUGUGUUAUUGUUUAUUGUUAGUUGGUUGAUUGUUUGUAGCUUGCAUGGGUUGGUAUUUGUGAAGAAAAGUGAUGUAUGAGGAGAAAUUGAUGUUUUAUAAGGGAUCGAUUGUAUCGGGUUGAUGUAAAAGAUUGUUGGUUUAGAGGGUGUUGAGUGAUGGAAGGAGUUAGGUUAUAGGCUGAAAAUUUGUAUGAUUUUUAUGUUGUAUGAGAGAUGAAAAUAUGUUAGUUGUAGUUUGUAUGAGGUUUGGUUUGGUUUUGUGAAGAAAUGAAAAACUUGCCUUAUGUUGUAGUUUGUAUGGAGAGUAUGUGUUGAGAAGAAGGAAUUGAGUGUUUUUGGUUUUAUGAGAAAGAGAAAAGGAUAUUUUGGAGAAGUAUUUUGUGGUCGUAUAGAAGUUGAAGAAUGAAGUAGGUAGUAAAAGACAAAGAAAUGGAGGAGAGGAGAGAGAGAUGAGAGGAGAGACUCUAAACUAAAAUCAAAUUUCACAACAUAUAAUAAUAAUAAUAAUAAUAAUAAUAAUAAUAAUAAUAAUAACAAAAAAAUAAUAAUACAACAAAAAAAUAUUAACAAUAAUAAUAAUUAGUAAACAAUAAUAAUUAAUAAUAAUGAUCAAUAAUAAAAUUAACAACAAUAAUAAAGGUUAAACAAUAAUAAACAAGAAUAAUAAUAAUAACUAAUUUAAUAAUGAUAAUUAUAAUAGUAAAAAAUAUAAUAAUAGUAAUCAUAAUAAGAAUAAUAUAGUGAUAAUAUAAUAGUAGUAGUAAUCAAUAAUAAAUAAUAAAGAUAAUAAUGGUAAUACAUAUGCAAAUAAAAAAUAAUAAUAAUAGUAAAUAAUUAAUAAUAAUAACAGUAAUAAUAACAAAUAUAAUAAUAAUAAUAAUAUUAUAUAGUAAUUAUAAUGAUAAAGAUAAUAAUAGUAUAAUAAUAUAUAAUAGUAAAAAAGGUAGGGGCGGCUGACAUUGAUUAUAGAGGAAGAGAGAUUUUUUUAAAAAAAUUAAAAGCAAACCAACCAUAAACAGAAACGUGGCAAGGGAGUUUUGUGUGAAAAAAAUGAUUUUUUUCCUCCUUGCGUGUCCGUUGCAACAACAACAUGGUCUCUCUCUUUUUUUUCCAAUUAAAACAAAAACAAUUUCUUCUUUUCCAAUUAUGAACAAAAAAUAACAAUAUUAACAAUGAAACCAAACUUGGAUACCAAAUCUUUAUCUCUCACUUACUCUCUAACUCAAGAAUCUGGUAGUGGUCGUGCGGUUCAGAGAUUUGUGAUAUUGUUUUUUUUUAUGUUGCGCUUGUUGAAGAAGAUGAAGUUGGGUGAUGAAGAGUGACAAAAAAAUUUGUUGUGGUGUUGUUGAUGAAGUGAAAAUUGUGUUAUUGUUUAUGUUAGUGUGGAUGAUGUUGUAGCUUCCAUGGUGUGGUUUUGGAAAAAAAGUGAUGAUGAGGAGAUGAGUUGUUUAAGGUUAUUGUUAUUGUAGUGAUGAAAAUGAUGUUGGUUAGAGGUGUUGAUGAUGGAGGAGAUAGGUUAUAGUGAAAAUUUUGUAUGAUUUUAUGUUUGUUGGAAGAUGAAGAUGUGUUAUGUUGUAGUUUGUAUCGAGGUGGUGUUGGUUUUAUGAAGAAGAUGAAAACUUUCCUAUGUUGUAGUUUGUAUGGAGGUUGUGUUGAGAAGAAAGGAAGUGUUUUUAUGAGAAAGAAAAGAGAUAUUUUGGAGAAAGUAUUUGGGUCUAUGAGAAGUGAAGAAUGAGGUAGUAGUGAAAGACAAAAGAAAAUGGAAUGGAGAGAUAGAUAGAUAGAUAGAUAGAUAGAUAGAUAGAUAGAUAGAUAGAUAGAGAGAGAGAGAGAGAGAGCAACUUGGGGAGAGAGAAAGGGAGGAAAGAAAAAAGAAGGACAAAAAAGAAAUCCUCCCAUUGGUCGAAAUUUUUUAAAAUUUAUUUUAAAUAAAAACUAAAGGCUUAUGUUGAUUGGUUGGUAAAAAAAUAUUUAUUUUACUAAUUAAAUAAAAUUACACAAACAUGAAUAAAAUUCAAAAUGAAACAUAGGUAAUUUUAAAUGAUUUUCCUGAUUAUUUUGGUGAAAGACAAAAAAUAAUCGAAUAAAAAUCGAGAAUAAAAAAGGAUCGUGGUUGAUUUUAAUAUUGAGUGAACGAUCAAUUAAUACAAUAGUAAUAAAGGAUUAGUGGUAAUCAUAUUACACAUUACGGGUAUAGGGUACAACUUCGUUGAAUGGGGAUACAGUACAACAAUUAACAAAUAGGCUCAACAGUAACUAUAAAUAACAAAAAUCUUUUUGUAAGAAGGCCCAAGCGAAAUCCAAUCAACCAAAAAUAAAAUUGGAGUUUUAAACUGCUGAAUUUAGCACUAUGUUAAGCAAUCGAAAAGUGAUUUAUGUAGAAAUCACCCUAUCUGAGGUCUGUUAAUAAAUUAUAUGAUUUAAGCAAUUUCUGAAGUUAAAUUGAAUUUUUAAAUCCGAAAUUGCAAUGCAUUUGUGGAAAUCGGUGAUUUUAAAUGACAUGUUUAAAGGUAAAAAGAAACGACAUUUAAACUACUAAAUUUAGUGUUAUGAUAAGAAAUUUUAAAAUGCUUCACGUAGGAAUCACCCUAUCUCAUGCCAGCCAAUAAUCUCUUAGUGUUAAAGUAAUUUAUGAAGUUAAAUUGAAUUUUUAACUUAGAAAUUGCAACGCAUAUGUGAAAAAACAAUGAGACAAAUAAAUUAAAUUUUCUUUUUAAUAAUCUUAAAAUAAAUAAUUAAUUAAACUAAUCCAUUAAUCAAUUAAAUCAACAACUAUAAUUACUAAUUGAAAUAAAAAUCAAGAAAAAAGGAAUAAAUAAGAUGAUGCAAAUUAGUUAUGCGGAGGUGUCAAAAACCAUUUAUGGACCUAAAACAUAACAAAUCCCAAUACUAAACUAAAACCAAAUUUUAAAACAUAUAAUAAUAAUAAUAAUAAUAACAACAACAACAACAAAAAUAAUAGUAAUAUAACAAAAAAAUAAUAAAAAUGAUAAUAAUUAGUAAACAAUAAUAAUCGAUAAUAAUGAUCAAUAAUAAAAUUAACAACAAUAAUAGUCAAUAAUGAUAAUUAAUAAUAAUAAUUAAAAAUAAUAAUGAUUAAACAAUAAUAAACAAAAGUAAUAAUUCUAAAUAAUUUAAUAAUGAUAAUUAUAAUAGUUAUAAAUAUAAUAAUAGUAAUCAUAAUAAGAAUAAUAUAGUAAUAAUUUAAUAGUAGUAGUAAUCAAUAAUCAAUAAUACUAAUAAUAAUUAUACAUAUGCUAAUAAUAAUAAUAAAUAAUAAUAAUAAUAGUAAAUAAUUAAUAAUAAUAAUAACAUUCAUAAUAACAAAUAUAAUAUUAGUAAUGGUUGAAGAAGAUGAAGUUGGGUGUUAAUAGUAAAGAGUGAAAAAAAAGUUUGUUUUGGAGUUGACGAUGAAGAGUGAAAUUAUGUUAUUGUUUAUUUUAGUGUGGAAGAUGUUGUAGCUUCCAUGGUGUGGUUUACGAAAAAAAGUGAUGAUGAGGAGAUGAGUUGUUUAAGGUUGUUGUUAUUGUAGUGAUGAAAACGAUGUUGGUUAGAGGUGUUGAUGAUGGAGGAGAUAGGUUGUGGUGAAAAUUUUGUAUGAUUUUAUGUUUGUAUGAAAAUGAAGAUAUGUUAUGUUGUAGUUUGUAUGGAGGUGGUGUUUGUUUUAUGAAGAAGAUGAAAACUUGCUUAUGUUGUAGUGUGUAUGGAGGUUGUGUUGAGAAGAAAGGAAGUGUUUUUAUGAGAAAGUUCAUGAGAAAGAAGAGAGAUAUUUUGGAGAAAGUGUUUGGGUAACAGUACAAGACAAAAGAAAAAGGAGGAGAGAGAGAGAGAGAGAGAGAGAGAGAGAGAGAGAGAGAGAGAAAUGUGGGGAGAGAAGAGAGAGAGAGAGAGAGAGAGAGAGAGAGAGAGAGAGAGAGAGAGAGAGAGAGAGAGAAAUGUGGGGAGAGAGAAAGGGAGGAAAGAAAAAAAGAAGAAAAAAAAGAAAUCCUCCCAUUGGUCGAAAUUUUUAAAAAUUAAAUUUAAAUAAAAACUAAAGGCUUACGUUGAUUGGUUGGUAAGAAAAAAUUAUUCAUUUUACUAAUUAAAUAAAAAUACACAAACAUGAAUAAAAUUCAAAUUGAAACAUAGGUAAUUUUAAAUAAUUUUAUCGAUUAUUUUGGUGAAAGACCAAAAAUAAUUGGAUAAAAAACGAAUAAAAAUCGAGAAUAAAAAAGGACCGUGGUUGAUUUUAAUAUUGAGUGAACGAUCAAUUAAUACAAUAGUAAUAAAGGAUUAGCGGUAAUCAUAUUACACAUUACGGGUAUAGGGUACAACUUUGUUGAAUGGGGAUACAGUACAACAAUUAACAACAUAGGCUCAACAGUAACUAUGAAUAACAAAAAUCUUGUUGUAAGAAGGCCCAAGCGAAAUCCAAUCAACCAAAAAUAAAAUUGGAGUUUUAAACUACUGAAUUUAGCGCUAUGUUAAGCAAUCGAAAAGUGAUUUAUGUAGAAAUCACCCUAUCUGAGGUCUGUUAAUAAAUUAUAUGGAUUUAAGCAAUUUCUGAAGUUAAAUUGAAUUUUUAAAUCCGAAAUUGCAAUGCAUAUGUGGAAAUCAGUGAUUUUAAACGACAUUUUUAAAGGUAAAAAGAAACGACAUUUAAACUACUAAAUUUAGUGUUAUGAUAAGAAAUUUUAAAAUGAAUUACGUAGGAAUCACCCUAUCUCACGUCAGCCAAUAAACUCUAUGCGUUUAAGUAAUUUCUGAAGUUCAAUUGAAUUUUUAACUUCGAAAUUUCAACCCAUAUGUGAAAAAACGACGAGACAAAUAAAUCAAUUUUUCUUUUUAAUAAUUUUAAAAUAAAAAAUUAAUUAAACUAAUCCAUUAAUCAAUUAAAUCAACAACUAUAAAUAGUAAUUUAAAUAAAAAUAAAGAAAAAAAAAAUAAAUAAGAUGAUGCAAAUUAGUUAUGCGGACGUUUAAAAAACCAUUUAUGGACCUAAAUCACAACAAAUCCCAAUACUAAACUAAAAUCAAAUUUUACAAGAUAUAAUAAUAAUAAUAAUAAUAAUAAUAAUAAUAAUAAUAAUAAUAAUAAUAAGAAGAAGAAGAAGAAUAACAAAAAUAAUAAUAAUAAAACAAAAAAUAAUAACAAUAAUAAUAAUUAGUAAACAAUAAUAAUCAAUAUUAAUGAUCAAUAAUAAAAUUAAUAACAAUGAUAGUCAAUAAUGAUAAUUAAUAAUAAUAAUAAUAACUAAUUUAAUAAUGAUAAUUAUAAUAGUAAAAAAUAUAAUAAUAGUAAUCAUAAUAACAAUAAUAUACUAAUAAUAUAAUAGUAUUAGUAAGCAAUAAUCAAUAAUAAUAAUAAUAAUAGUAAUACAUAUUCUAAUAAUAAUAAAUAAUAAUAAUAAUAGUAAAAAAUUAAUAAUAAUAACAGUAAUAAUAAAAAAUAUAAUAAUAAUAAUAUGUAAUAAUUAUAAUGAUAAUGAUAAUAAUAGUAUAAUAAUAUAUAAUUGUAAAAAAAAGAAAAAAAUAAAAGAAAACAAACUAAAAAAAUAAAGGAUAGGGGUAGUUGACGUUGAUCUCGAGGAAGAAUUUUUUUUUUAAAAAUUAAAAGCAAACCAACCAUAAACAGAAACUUGGCAAGGGUGUUUUGUGUAAAAAAAAUAUCUUUCCUUCCUCCUUGCUUGUCCGUUGCAACAACAACACGAUCUCUCUCUCUCUCUCUCUUUUUUUUUUUAAAAUUAAAACAAAAACAAUUUCUUCUUUUCCAAUUAUGAACAAAAAAAUGACAAUAUUAACAAUCAAACCAAACUUGGAUACCAAAUCUUUAUAUCUCACUUACUCUCUAACUCAAGAAUCUGGUAGUGGUAUUGCGGUUCAGAGUUUUGUGAUUUUGUUGUUGUUUUUGAUGUUGUGUUGGUUGAAGAAGAUGAAGUUGGGUGACGAUGAUAAAGAGUGACAACAAAUUUUGUUUUGGUGUUGAUGAUGAAGAGUAAAAUUGUGUUAUUGUUUAUGUUAGUGUGGAUGAUGUUCUAGCUUCCAUGGUGUGGUUUUGGAAAAAAAGUGAUGAUGAGGAGAUGAGUUGUUUAAGGUUGUUGUUAUUGUAGUGUUGAAAAUGAUGUUGGUUAGAGGUAUUGAUGAUGGAGGAGAUACGUUGUGGUGAAAAUUUUGUAUGAUUUUAUGUUUGUAUGAAGAUGAAGAUAUGUUAUGUUAUAGUUUGUAUAGAGGUGGUGUUUGUUAUAUGAAGAAGAUGAAAACUUGCUUAUGUUGUAGUUUGUAUGGAGGUUGUGUUGAGAAGAAAGGAAGUGUUUUUAUGAGAAUGUUUAUGAGAAAGAAGAGAGAUAUUUUGGAGAAAAUAUUUGGGUGUACGAGAAGUGAAGAAUCAGGUAGCAGUAAAAGACAAAAGAAAAAAGAGGAGAGAGAUAGAGAGCAAUGUGGUGAGAGAGAAAGGGAAGAAUGAAAAAAAAGAAAUCCUCCCAUUAGUCGAAAAUUUUUAAAAAUAAAUUUAAAUAAAAACUAAAGGCUUAUGUUGAUUGGUUGUUAAAAAAAUUAUUUAGUUUACUAAUUAAAUAAAAAUAUAAAAACAUGAAUAAAAUUGAAAUUGAAACAUAGGUAAUUUUAAAUAAUUUUACCGAUUAUUUUGGUGAAAGACCAAAAAUAAUCAGAUAAAAAACGAAUAGAAAUCAAGAAUAAAAAAGUAUCGUGGUUGAUUUUAAUAUUGAGUUAACGAUCAACUAAUAUAAUAGUAACAAAGGAUUAGCGGUAAACAUAUUACACAUUACGGGAAUAAGGUACAACUUUGUCGAAUGGGGAUACAAUACAACAAUUAACAACAUUGGCUCAACAGAUAACUGUAAAUAACAAAAAUCUCGUUGUAAGAAGGCCCAAGAGAAAUCCAAUGAACCAAAAAUAAAAAUAGAGUUUUGAACUACUGAAUUUAGCGAUAUGUUAAGCAAUUGUAAAGUGAUUUAUGUAGAAAUCACCCUAUCUUUGGUCUGUUAAUAAAUUCUAUGGGUUUAAGAAGUUUCUGAAGUUAAAUUGAAUUUUUAACUCCGAAAUUGCAAUGCAUAUGUGAAAAUCGGUGAUUUUAAACGAUUGUUUUAAAGGUAAAAAGAAACGACGUUUAAACUACUAAAUUUAAUGUUAUGUUAAGUAAUUUUAAAAUGAUUCACGUAGGAAUCACCCUAUCUCAUGGAAGCCAAUAAACUCUAUGCGUUUAAAUAAUUCUUUUUAAUAAUUUUAAAUUAAAUAAUUAAUUAAACUAAUGCAUUAGUCAAUUAAAUCAACAACUAUUAUUACUAAUUUAAAUAAAAGUCAAGAAAAAAAAAGAUGAUGCAAAUUAGUUAUGUGGAAGUGUCAAAUACCAUUUAUGGACCUAAAACACAACAAAUCCCAAUACUAAAGUAAAAUCAAAUUUUACAAUAUAUAAUAAUAAUAAUAAUAAUAAUAAUAAUAAUAACAAAAAUAAUAAUAAUACAAAAAAAUAACAAUAAUAAUAAUUAGUAAACAAAAAUAAUCAAUAUUAAUGAUCAAUAAUAAAAUUAACAACAAUAAUAGUCAAUAAUGAUAGUUAAUAAUAAUAAUUAACAAUAAUAAUGAUUAAACCAUAAUAAAAUAAUAAUAAUAAUAAUAACUAAUAGUAAAAUAUGUAAUAAUUGUAAUCAUAAUAAGAAUAAUAUAGUAAUAAUAUAAUAGUAGUGGUAAUCAAUAAUCAAUAAUAAUAAUUGUAAUACAUAUGCUAAUAAUAAAAAUAAUAAUAUUAAUAAUUAUAAUAGUAAAAAAUUAAUAAUAAUAACAGUAAUAAUAAAAAAAUAUAAUAAUAAUAAUAUAUAAUAAUUAUAAUGAUAAUGAUAAUAAUAGUAUAAAAUAUAUAAUAGUAAAAAAGGAAAAAAGAAAAGAAAAGAAACUUAAAAAAUAAAUGAUAGGGGCGGCUAACAUUGGCUAUGGAGGAAGAGAGAAUUUUUCAAAAAUUAAAAGCAAACCAACUAUACACAGAAACGCGGCAAGGGAGUUUUGUGUGAAACAAUUUUAUUUUCUUCCUGCUUGCUUGUCUGUUGAAACAACAACACAGUCUCUCUCUUUUUAAAGAAAAAUUAAAACAAAAACAAUUUCUUCUUUUCCAAUUAUGAACAAAAAAUAACAAUAUUAACAAUCAAACCAAACUUGGAUACCAAAUCUUUAUAUCUCACUUACUCUCUAACUCAGGAAUCUGGUAAUGGUUGUGCAGUUCAGAGAUUUGUGAUAUUGUUGUUGUUUUUGAUGUUCUGUUGGUUGAAGAAGAUGAAGUUGGGUGAUGAUGAUGAAGAGUGACAAAAAAGUUUGUUUUGGUGUUGAUGAUGAAGAGUAAAAUUAUGUUAUUGUUUAUGUUAGUAUGGAUGAUGUUUUAGCUUGCAUGGCGUGGUUUUGGAAAAAAAGUGAUGAUGAGGAGAUGAGUUGUUUAAAGUUGUUGUCAUUGUAGUGAUGAAAAUGAUGUUGGUUAGAGGUGUUGAUGAUGGAGGAGGUAGGUUAUGGCGAAAAUUUUGUAUGAUUUUAUGUUUGUAUGAAGAUGAAAUUAUGUUACGUUGUAGUUUGUAUGGAGGUGGUGUUGGUUUUGUGAAGAAGAUGAAAACUUGCUUAUGUUGUAGUUUGUAUGGAGGUUGUGUUGAAAAGAAAGGAAGUGUUUUUAUGAGAAAGUUUAUGAGAAAGAAGAGAGAUAUUUUGGAGAAAGUAUUUGGGUGUAUGAGAAGUGAAGAAUGAAGUAGGAGUAAAAGACAAAAGAAAAUGGAGGAGAGAGAGAGGAGAGGAAUGAGAGACGGAGAGAGAAAGAGAGAGAGAGAGAGAGAGAGAAACGUGGGGAGAGAGAAAGGGAGGAAAGAGAAAAAAAAGAAAUCCUCCCAUUGGUCGAAAUUUUUUAAAAUUAAUUUUAAAUAAAAACUAAAGGCUUUUGUUGAUUGGAUGGUAAUUUUUUUUAUUUUACUAAUUAAAUAAAAAUACACAGACAUGAAUAAAAUUCAAAUUGAAACAUAGGUAAUUUUAAAUAAAUUUCCCGAUUAUUUUGUUGAAAGACGAAAAAUCAUCGGAAAAAAACGAAUAAAAAUCGAGCAUAAAAAAGGAUAGUGGUUGAUUUUAUUGUUGCGUUAACGAUCAACUAAUACAAUAGCAAUAAAGGAAAGCGGUAAACAUAUUACACAUUACGGGAAUAAGGUACAACUUUGUUGAAUGGAGAUUUAGUAAAACAAUUAACAACAUAGGCUCAACAGACAACUGUAAAUAACAAAAAUCUCGUUGUAAGAAGGCCCAAGAGAAAACCAAUGAACCAAAAAUAAAAUUGGAGUUUUUAGCUACUGAAUUUAGCGCUAUGUUAAGCAAUCCUAAAGUGAUUUAUGUAUAAAUCACCCUAUCUGAGGUCUGUUAAUAAAUUAUAUGGGUUUAAGCAAUUUCUGAAGUUAAAUUGAAUUUUUAACUCCGAAAUUGCAAUGCAAAUGUGAAAACCGAUUCUUUUAAACGACAGUUUCAAAGGUAAAAAGAAACGACAUUUAAACUACUAAAUUUAGUUUUAUGUUAAGCAAUUUUAAAAUGAUUCACGUAGGAAUCACCCUAUCUCAUGCCAACCAAUAAACUCUAUGCGUUUAAGUAAUUUCUGAAGUUAAAUUGAAUUUUUAACUCCGAAAUUGCAAUGCAUGUGUGAAAAAAUGACGAGACAAAUAAUUCAAAUUUUCUUUUUAAUAAUUUUAAAAUAAUUAAUUAAUUAAAUUAAUCCAUUAAUCAAUUAAAUCAACAACUAUUAUUACUAAUUUAAAUAAAAAUCCAGAAAAAAGACAUAUAUAAGAUGAUGCAAAUUAGUUAUGCGGAGGUGUCAAAAACCAUUUAUGGACCUAAAACACAACAAAUCCCAAUACUAAACUAAAAUCAAAUUUCACAACAUAUAAUAAUAAUAAUAAUAAUAAUAAUAAUAAUAAUAAUGAUAACAAAAUAAUAAUAAAAAUAAUUAUUGUUAUUAAACAAUAAUUAUCAAUAAUAGUGAUCAAUAAUAAAAUUAACAACAAUAAUAGUCAAUAAUGAUAAUUAAUAAUAAUAAUUAACAAUAAUAAUGAUUAAACCAUAAUAAACAAAAAUAAUAAUAAUAACUAAUUUAAUAAUGAUAAUUAUAAUAGUUAAAAAUAUAAUAACAGUAAUCAAAGUAAGAAUAAUAUAGUAAUAAUAUAAUAGUAGUAGUAAUUAAUAAUCAAUUAUAAUAAUAGUAAUACAUAUGCUAAUAAUAAUAAUAAUAGUAAAUAGUUAAUAAUAAUAACAGUAAUAAUAACAAAUAUAAUAAUAAUAAUAAUAUAUAAUAAUUAUAAUGAUAAUGAUAAUAAUAGUACAAUAAUAUAUAAUAGUAAAAAAUAGAAACUAAAAAAAAGGAUAGGGGCGACUGACAUUGAUUAUGGAGGAAAAGAGAUUUUUUUUUAAACUAAAAGCAAACCCACCAUAAAUAGAAACAUGGCAAGGGAGUUUUGUGUGAAAAAAAAUUAUUUUCUUCCUCCUUGCUUGUCCGUUGCAACAAUAACAUGGUCUCUCUCUUUUUAAAAAAAAUUAAAAAAAAUAAUUUCUUCUUUUCCAAUUAUGAACAAAAAAUAACAAUAUUAACAAUCAAACCAAACUUGGAUACCAAAUCUUUAUCUCUCACUUACUCUCUAACUCAAGAAUCUGGUAGUGGUUGUGCGGUUUAGAGAUUUGUGAUAUUGUUGUUGUUUUUUAUGUUAUGUUGGUUGAAUAAGAUGAAGUUGGAUGAUGAUGAUUAAGAGUGACAAAAAAGUAUGUUUUGGUGUUGAUGAUGAAGAGUAAAAUUGUGUUAUUGUUUAUAUUAGUGUGGAUGAUGUUGUAGAUUCCAUGGCAUGGUUUUGGAAAAAAAGUGAUGAUGAGGAGAUGAGUUGUUUAGGGUUGUUGUUAUUGUAGUGAUGAAAAUGAUGUUUGUUAGAGGUGUUAAUGAUGGAGGAGAUAGGUUGUGGUGAAAAUUUUGUAUGAUUUUAUGUUUGUAUGAAGAUGAAGAUAUGUUAUGUUGUAGUUUGUACGGAGGUGGUGUUGGUUUUGUGAAGAAUAUGAGAACUUGCUUAUGUUGUAGUUUGUAUGGAGGUUGCGUUGAGAAGAAAGGAAGUGUUUUUAUGAGAAAGUUUAUGAGAAAGAAGAGAUAUUUUGGAGAAAGUAUAUGGGUGUAUGAGAAGUGAAGAAUGAUGUAGCAGUAAAAGACAAAAAAAAAUGGAGGGGAGAGAGAGAGAGAGAGAGAGAGAGAGAGAGAGAGAGAGACGAGAAGAGAGAGAGAGAGAGAGAGAGAGAGAGAGGAAAGAAAAAAGAAGAAAAAAAAAGAAAUCCUGCCAUUGGUCGAGUUUUGUUAAAAUUAAUAUUAAAUAAAAACAAAAGGCUUAUGUUGAUUGGUUGGUAAAAAAAUAUUUAUUUUACUAAUUAUAUAAAAAUACACAAACAUGAAUAAAAUUCAAAUUGAAACAUAGGUAAUUUUAAAUGAUUUUCCCGAUUAUUUUGGUGAAAGACAAAAAAUAAUCGGAUAAAAAAUGAAUAAUAAUGGAGCAUAAAAAAGGAUAGUGGUUGAUUUUAAUAUUGAGUUAAUUAUUAACUAAUACAAAAAUAGGGUACAACUUUGUCGAAUUGGGAUACAAUACAACAAUUAACAACAUAGGCUCAACAAACAACUGUAAAUAACAAAAAUCUCGUUGUAAGAAGGCCCAAGAGAAAUUCAAUGAACAAAAAAUGAAAUUGGAGUUUUGAACUACUAAAUUUAGCGCUAUGUUAAGCAAUCGUAAAGUGAUUUAUGUAGAAAUUAUUAGAAGUAAUUCAUAUUUAUUAGUUGUACUACUUUCUUAGCCCCUAAGUUUGUUAGAGGGUAUUUUAGUAUUUUAUCCUAUUCUAGUAACCCUAGUUUUAGCUUAUAAAUAGGGUGACAAUCAUUGUAACUUUUAUCAUGUUUUUGUAACCGUCAUUCUCUUCAUAGAAUAUUUCCGUUCAUCAUUUGUUCUACCUUUGCACCAACAAUUGGUAUCAGAGCUCCGGUUCGGAUUCAUUAGGGAAACACGGGAAACACGAGUGAACGUGAGGUCUUGUGUGGUUGAUUUUGAUUCUUAGAUUCGUGUUGAAUCUUGAACAAAAUCUGAUCAGAAUUUUAAUUCUGUGGGUUGGGAAACACUGUGAGAAAUCUGAGUGUACUGCGCAAGGUAGAAAGAUGAACGGAAAUGUUAACAUGAACACCAAACUUCCAGUAUUUGACGGUAAAAACUGGAACCGUUGGAUGAUCCAAAUGCGUGUAUUGUUUGGUGCUCAAGAUGUUCUAGAUCUUGUCACUGAUGGUUAUGUUCCGGUAGCAGCAGAUGCGACGGAUGAACAGAAAAACGCGCAGAAGGAAGUAAGGAAGAAGGAUCAGAAAGCAUUGUUCUUCAUUCAUCAAUGUGUUGAUGUAAAUGUGUUUGAGAAGAUUGCAGAUUCAACGACAGCAAAGGCUGCGUGGGACACACUGGUUAGAUGUUAUGGUGGUGACGCAUCAGUGAAGAAGGUGAAGCUUCAGUCCUUGAGAAAGCAAUAUGAGAAUCUCAACAUGAAGAAUAAUGAGAAAGUUUCUGAAUACAUCUCCAGAGUGAUUCUGAUCACUAAUGAGAUGAAAGCGUGUGGAGAAACUCUUUCUGAAGAAACAAUCAUGGAGAAGGUAUUGAGAUCCCUUACCUGUCAAUUUGAUUACAUUGUGGUAGCAAUAGAACAUUCCAAAGAUCUGAGCACCAUGAGAAUUGAAGAGCUGCAGAGCAGUCUAGAAGCGCAAGAGUUGCGUUUNNNNNNNNNNNNNNNNNNNNNNNNNNNNNNNNNNNNNNNNNNNNNNNNNNNNNNNNNNNNNNNNNNNNNNNNNNNNNNNNNNNNNNNNNNNNNNNNNNNNNNNNNNNNNNNAAAUCUCUUCAGAAGUUCUAAUUCAUACUUGAGCUGAUGCAAAAUAAUACCUUUCUCAGAGUAUCUGAACUCCAUCCCUAGAAAGUAUGUCAUUUUGCCUAGAUCAGUCAUUUCGAAUUCAUUCAUCAGAACUUUCUUGAACUUGGCUAUCUCCUGUUCAGAACUUCCAGUCAGCAGUAUAUCAUCAACAUAUAAACAUACCAGAGUCAUAUUUCCUUCAGAAGUAUGCUGAACAUAGACACCGUACUCCAUCUCACAUUUCUGAAAGCCUUGCUUCUUGAAAAAUGAAUCAAUCUUCUUAUUCCAAGCUCUGGGCGCUUGUUUCAAUCCAUAUAGAGCUUUGUAUAAUCUGUACACCAUCCCUUCCUGAUUCUUUUUCACAAAUCCAGGAGGUUGUGACACGUAAACUUCUUCUUCUAAUGGACCGUUCAGAAAUGCAGAUUUUACAUCUAAAUGCAUCAGAGGCCAAUUCCUGUUAGCAGCUAUUGCAAUCACCAUUCUAUUGUUUCAUGUCUUGCUACAGGGGCAAACACUUCAGAGUAAUCCAGCCCAGGUUUCUGUAGAAAUCCUCUGGCUACCACCUUGCUUUAUGUUUGCAAUUGAACCAUCUGGCUUUAACUUCUGCUUGAAAACCAUCUGACGCUGAUGGCUUCUUGUCUUUUGGAAAUUCUGUCAGCUUCCAAGUUUUGUUUCUCUUUAUAAGCAUCAAGUUCUUCUUUCAUGGCCUUCAGCCAGAGCUUCUGCUUAAGAGCCUCUUCUGUACUUAUGGGUUCAGAGUCUACUAACAUGGCACACUGAAUAACUUCUCCUUCAGAUCUACUUCAGUGUCUUGCAGCAUGUCAAAUCUGCAUAUCUUUCUGGGAUGUUUCUGAUUCUUUGUGGUCUCUGAACUUGUUCAGAGUCUUGAGCUUCAGAAUUUCUAGCUUCAGAUGGUUGACUUCCUCCAGAGCUUUGACCAUCUUCAGGGUCUGGCAUAUUUCCAGAGUCUGAAUUGCCACCAGAACUGGAUUACCAUCAGAGUCGGGUCAUCAGAGUCUGGAUCAUCAGAGUCACCUUCAUCUUCUGAGUCUUCUCCAGAGUCAGAAUCACUAUCAGAAUCAGAAUCAACGUCAGAGUUUACUCCAACUUCAGAAAUUCUUAACUCUGCCUUUCUUCAGAAGUUCUAACAUCAGAAUCAGAUUGAGACUUAUCCCAAUUCCAAAAUUCUGAUUCCUUCACAAUCACAUCUCUGUUGAACUCAAUUUUGUUGGUUCUGGACAAUAGAGCUUGUAUGCACUGUACUGUGGUACCCUAUCAGAAUCAUCACUUUGCUUCUAUCAUCCAGCUUCUGUCUUCUGGCUUCUGGAACAUGUUUAUAGCAAACAACCAAACACCUUCAGAUGACUAACACUUUGCUUAUCUCCAGUCCACUUCUGUAUUGGAACUAUUUCCUUCAACUUCUUCGUAGACAUCGGUUGAGUACAUACAUUGCAGUGGCAACAGCUUCUCCCAGAGCGUCUGAGGAAGCUUCUUCUCCUUUAGCAUGCUUCUCAUCAUAUCAAGCAAAGUGCGGUUUCUUCUCUUCAGCAAGACCAUUAUUGAGGGGGUAUAAGAGAAGUAACCUCAUGCUCAAUUCCAUUCUCUCACAGAACUUCUGGAACUCUUUGAUUAUACUCACCUCCACCGUCAGUUCUAAGAAUCUUCACUUCUGCCACUCUGAUUCUCAGCCUUCAUUCUGAACUUCUUGAAUUCAUCAAACACCUCGUGUUUAAACUAAUAAGGAUACCCAUGUCAUUCUUGUGAAUUCAUCAACAAAUAACACAAAGUAUUUAUUCCUCCAAUCGAUGCUACUGGAAAUGGACCACACACAUCAGAAUGUACAACUCCCAAGCAUGUUUUGCUCUUGGAGCAGUUUCUGACGCAAAUGGCAAUCGUGGUGUGUUUUCCUCCAAUGCAAACUUUGCAUGAUUUUCAGGCUUCUUAAUUCAGGAAUUCCAUGCUCAACUUCUUUGAAUUCAGAUGUUUUAAGCUUCUGAAAUUCAAAUGACCAAAUCUUCUGCUGCCACAAUCACUCUCCUUCUCAGCACUUGUUGCCACUAAGACAUUUCUGAGUCUGCAGUUCUGACAUUCACCUUGAAUGUUCUAUUCCUUCCCUGUUCUGACUCCAAUAAUCAACUUCUGAUUGCAGUCAUACAGCUCAGAAGAUUGUUCCUUCAUGGUAACUGAAAACCUUUCUCGAUUAAUUGUCCACACUCAUCAGAUUGCUUCUGAUGCCAGGUACAUACCACACGUUCUGAAUCAAUGCCUGUUUUCCAUUGUUCAGAACACUCUGACAUUUCCCAUACCUUCUGCAUUAAGAUAUUUGUCAUCAGCACAUCUGAUCUUUGUCCUCUUUCAGAGUCAAAGUCAACCAGCCAUUUCUGUUUUCCAGUAGAUGAUGGUUGAACAGCCAGUGUCCAUAUACCACCAGUCUAUCAGAUCCAUAUCAUCAGAUUCAGAGCCAUCAAUAGCACAGAUCCGUCAUCAGAACUUCUGGCUAUAUUUGCUUCUUCUGAUUUUCUCUCCUUGUUUGACCAACAGUUCUCUAGCAAGUGACAAACUUCUUACAACAGUAACAUUGGAUUUUCUUCUUGUCAUACUUCUCUUUUCCCUUCUGAGCAUUCUUUUGUCUAUCAGAGGUUGAGCUUUCUGACUUCUGACACCAUCAGAUCUUCUCUGGGCUUCUGACUGCUUCUGAUACCUGCUAUCAGAAGUUGCUUUCAGAGCCUGCUGCUCUACUUCCUUUAGAAGUUCUCUCAGUCAAACGCAACUCUUGCGCUUCUAGACUGCUCUGCAGCUCUUUCAAUUCUCAUGGUGCUCAGAUCUUUGGAAUGUUCUAUGCUACCACAAUGUAAUCAAUUGAGGUAAGGGAUCUCAAUACCUUCUCCAUGAUUGUUUCUUCAUAAGAGUUUCUCCACACGCUUUUCAUCUCAUUAGUGAUCAGAAUCACUCUGGAGAUGUAUUCAGAACUUUCUCAUUAUUCUUCAUUGUUGAGAUUCUCUAUAUUGCUUCCAAGGACUGAAGCUUCACCUUCUUCACUUGACGCGUCACCACAUAACAUCUAACAGUGGUCCCAUGCAGCCUGUCUGUCGUUGAAUCUGCAAUCUUCUCAAACACAUCUACAUCAACACAUUGAUGAAUUAUUAGUUGUACUAUUUUCUUAGCCUCUAAGUUUGUUAGAGGGUAUUUUAGUAUUUUAUCCUAUUCUAGUAACCCUAGUUUUAGCUUAUAAAUAGGGUGACAAUCAUUGUAACUUUUAUCAUGUUUUUGUAGCCGUCAUUCUCUUCAUAGAAUAUUUCCGUUCAUCAUUUGUUCUACCUUUGCACCAACAGAAAUCACCCUAUCUGAGGUCUAUUAAUAAAUUAUAUGGGUUUAAGCAAUUUAUGAAGUUAAAUUGAAUUUUUAACUCCGAAAUUGCAAUGCAUAUGUGAAAAUCGGUGAUUUUAACUGACAGUUUUAAAGAUAAAAAGAAACAACAUUUAAACUACUAAAUUUAGUGUUAUGUUAAGAAAUUUAAAAAUGAUUCACAUAGGAAUCACCUUAUCUCAUGCCAGCCAAUAAACUCUAUGCGUUUAAGUAAUUUCUUAAAUUGAUAUUUUAACUCUGAAAUUGCAACGCAUGUGUGAAACAACGAUGAGACAAAUAAAUCAAAUUUUAUUUUUAAUAAUUUUAAAAUUAAUAAUUAAUUAAACUAAUCCAUUAAUCAAUUAAAUCAACAACUAUAAUUACUAAUUUAAAUAAAAAUCAAGUAAAAAGAAAUAUAUAAGAUGAUGCAAAUUAGUUAUGCGGAGGUGUCAAAAACCAUUUAUGGACCUAAAACACAACAAAUCCCAAUACUAAACUAAAAUCAAAUUUUACAACAUAUAAUCAUAAUAAUAAUAAUAACAAAAAUAAUAAUAAUACAACAAAAAAAUAAUAACAAUAAUAAUAAUUAGUAAACAAUAAUAAUCAAUAAUAAUGAUCAAUAAUAAAAUUAACAACAAUAAUAGUCAAUAAUGAUAAUUAAUAAUAGUAAUUAACAAUAAUAAUGAUUAAACCAUAAUAAACGAAAAUAAUAAUAAUAAAUAAUUUAAUAAUGAUAAUUAUAUUAGUAAAAAAUAUAAUAAUAGUAACCAUAAUAAGAAUAAUAUAAUAGUAGUAGUAAUCAAUAAUCAAUAAUAAUAAUAAUAAUAAUACAUAUGCUUAUAAUAAUAAAUAAUAAUAAUAAUAAUAAUAGUAAAUAAUUAAUAAUAAUAACAGUGAUAAUAAUAAUAAUAAUAAUAAUAUAUAAUAAUUAUAAUGAUAAUGCUUAAUUAGUUGUCAGUUGAGAUCAAUUGAGGUCCUAUGUACUCUAUCUAUUAUCAGUUGUAACAAUUAGAGCUCAUAUAUGCUCUAAGUGUUAUCAAUUGGGACCAAUAGAGUAACCAGUAAACUCUGAAGAGAUUAAUUAUUAAUAAAAAAGACCGACCAAUAUUAAUAAGUACAAGAAAUGACAUUUUUGAUAACAUUAAUAAUUGGUCAAUUGGUAUUGGAAGAUAAAAUAUCAAUUGAGAUAUUUUAUAUUACUACCUAAUAUUAUAAUAUAUUAAUUAUAUGUUAUAUAUUUAUGUGGUAUAGAAAGAAAGAGGAAAGUAAGUGAUAAGAAUAAGAAGGAAGAGAAAGAGAGAUAUCAGAAAGAACAAGAAAAGAAGAGAGAAAGAGGAAAAGAGGAGAAGGGAGAAAGGAAGAAGAAAAGAGAAAGAGGAAGGAAGCCACCACCACCACCAUCAUCAUGUCAUCUUCUUCAUCAUCCUCACCAUCUUCUUGAUUCAAGGUGAGUUCUAGUUAGAACUUUCAUGGCAUAUAAACUAGGGUUUGUGAUGAAAUCAAAUGAUAGUUGGUAAUGAUCCAUGAUAUGUGUUCUAUCUUAGUCAUGAAAGCUUAAUGAAUGAAUGAUUCACCCAUGUUCUCUAUGAUUGUGGUGUUCUAGCUAUGGUUGAAUGUUGUUGUUGUUAUCAUGGUUAUAUGUUUCACAAGCUUGUAGAAGUAUGAAGUGUAAAUGUGUUUCUUGGUGUGAGUUUAUCAUGAAUUAUGUUCUAAAAUGGGCGGGCAUGAUUACUAGUGGAAGAAAGAGCGUUUAAGACAUAUAUUGUUUCUGGAAAUUAUGCAGGUGGAAAUAUGAAAGUUCAGGAAGGUAUUGUGAAAUUUAUUAGCAACCAAUCGAUUCGCAUUGGGUUGCAAUCGAUUAUCGAUUGUUUCAUUUGAUCAAUCAAUUGACAUGAAUUAAUUCCUUGAUAAAUUAAAAUAUGUCACCAAUGGGGGUCAAAACCGGGACCUCCUUGGUAUGGAACAACCCUUACCACUAGGUUAAGCUCUUGUUGUUGAAUAUUUAUGCAAGGAACAAGUGUUAACCUAUAUUCUCGAUUAAGUUAGUUUGUUAGAUUGUUUGAGUGUUAUAACUCCAUUUAGGACGCAGACGGAUGCAUUAGAAAGAUAAUGUAAAAGACUAUCAUUAUUAAACCAUGUUAUAGUAUAUUAUGUGCCUUAUAAAUACUAUGAAUUAUAUUAUGAUGAAUGUUAAACAUUGUUGUUAUGUUCGAUUGUGAAAUAACAUGAUUAAAAACCUUACAAAGAUGAGUGAGGGAACCUAGGAGAAUAACUUGAUUAAUAACUUAGAAAGAUAAUCUAGGUUAUGGAAAUGGGUAUACAGUGAUGCUUGGGUGCAACGGUACAUAGGUGUGUAUUGUGGACAAGUAUUCACCUAAUAAACAAAUCAAUAUGCUUUGUAUGUAACAUGUGUGAUUUAUGUAAUGAAAAUGGAUCAUGUUAUGAUGCCAUGGGAACUGAUAUCAUAUCAUGAGAACUCGUUUGAUAUUUUGGUGAGGAACUUUUGUUCCCAAAGUCCUAUUUUGGUGAGGAGCGUUGCUCCGAAAGUCCUAUUGGUUGUUGAGAAUUGAUCACGUAUUCGGAAUUAGUUGUGAUUGUGCAGAUACCACUUCGAAGGCUUAGGUAAAGCGGUAAGUGAGGAUGUGGCACCAAUGAUUCUUGCCUCAAUUGGGUUUGAGUCCCAACCAUGGCGGAAAUGGGGGAAAGGUGGACACCUAAGUGGGUUAGAGUCUCAUAUGGUGAAAGAUACCCUAAGUGGGUUAGAGUCCCAUACGGGUGACGGUUGCUUGAACUGUGGAUUAAGCCUCAUAGAAGACCCAAUAUCCACCAUGAAAGUCGCAUCGUACGGGCAUGCGUGAACCAAGCCUUGGCCUAGACGUAGGUCCGGUUGGGGAUCGAUGUUGCGUGAAUCCGAAUAGUGAUUUAUUGAGUUAUGUGGACUCAAGUGGCACGUUUCCAUACAUUGCGAUUAUCUCUUAGUUACUCAAGUUCUAGUUACAAGGUGCGAGUGAUGCAUAAGUGGCGGAAGGUGAAUACUUGAGUUAGAAUCAAGUAGAAACUCUGUAGAGCCAAGUGGACCCAUAAGAUAGGAGAACUCACUGAGAUUAUUAUCUCAUCCCAUUAUUGUUGUUAUUUUUCAGGUAUUCCUUGCAGGUUGAAUUCAAGAGAGGUUGUCUACUGAUGUUUUAAGGGAUGCUGAUUAUCGUGAUCUUCCGUUGUGGAGUUGUGCACAAUGAAGAUAUUGUACAUAGUUCUUAGAUUUUAUUGUUUAGGCUUUAUCGUAUGACAUGUGCCAUUUAUGUUUUUGUUUUGGACAUGUGUAUAUAAUGAUGGCAAUAGGCACUUAUGAUUGUGUCAAUACCAAAUAAUAACACUUGUAUGAUAUUAUUCUAGAUAUAUAUUGUACGGGUUGUUACAGUUGGUAUCAGAGCAGGUCGAUUCUCUACCUAGCCUUGAAACAUCAUAAGUAAAUCUAUUCAUGCCUCAUAUGUGUGUUUAGCCAACAUGAUUCUUAAUAUCAUUGUAUAUAGUAUUGGGCCUGGUCAACCUAAUUCUAUGUGCAUGGUAGGUAGGAUUAUGAUUGAGCGAUCACGAGGACUCCGGAGUGUUGGUGGAACUUAUGCUUUAAGGGUAGGCUCAAGCCAAGAGUUAGAAAGGAAGGAAACCUGGAUAGCUUAGUUGAAGUUUUAAUAAGAGUUGUGAUUCAGGUAACGUAGAAUUGAAGGGUGUUUGUGGUUCAAGCAAUCAUGUAGUGCUGAUGAAGUCAAGAAGUUGAGGAUUUCUAUUGGAUAAAUUGCCAGAGCUUUGAGAGAGACGUGAAUUUGCUAGUGGAAUAAGAUAUACCCACUGAUAUGGAAUAAGUAUUGUAAGUAAUUCCAUAUGGUGAAGGAGAAAGUAUUGUUAUGUUGCUCAUAUGUCAUAAGGUCUAGAAGUGAGAUAGUGCAUCGUUGUUUCAAUUUCUAAGGUCACUAGAGUAUCUUGGAAGAACGAGAGUACUUCAGGGAGUAUAUUUGGAAUGGUACCUUGCAAGUGGUUAAGAACUUGAGAGAUAAGGACAUUCGGUUUUGUUGGGAGCCUAAGGUAGUGGUGAAGUCUAAGGAGAGACUCGAGGACAUGGCUGCCUAUUCCAUGUGAAACAGGUAUGGACCAAAUGUAGGUUAGAAGAUAAAU